AUCCUGGCUCAGGACGAACGCUGGCGGCGUGCCUAAUACAUGCAAGUCGAGCGGACAGAAGGGAGCUUGCUCCCGGAUGUUAGCGGCGGACGGGUGAGUAACACGUGGGUAACCUGCCUGUAAGACUGGGAUAACUCCGGGAAACCGGAGCUAAUACCGGAUAGUUCCUUGAACCGCAUGGUUCAAGGAUGAAAGACGGUUUCGGCUGUCACUUACAGAUGGACCCGCGGCGCAUUAGCUAGUUGGUGGGGUAAUGGCUCACCAAGGCGACGAUGCGUAGCCGACCUGAGAGGGUGAUCGGCCACACUGGGACUGAGACACGGCCCAGACUCCUACGGGAGGCAGCAGUAGGGAAUCUUCCGCAAUGGACGAAAGUCUGACGGAGCAACGCCGCGUGAGUGAUGAAGGUUUUCGGAUCGUAAAGCUCUGUUGUUAGGGAAGAACAAGUGCGAGAGUAACUGCUCGCAACU
rnacentral:rRNA from 1 species